rnacentral:rRNA from 1 species
UACGAAGGGGGCUAGCGUUGCUCGGAAUUACUGGGCGUAAAGCGCACGUAGGCGGCUUUCUAAGUCGGGGGUGAAAUCCUGGAGCUCAACUCCAGAACUGCCUUCGAUACUGGAGAGCUUGAGUCCGGGAGAGGUGAGUGGAACUGCGAGUGUAGAGGUGAAAUUCGUAGAAUAUUCGCAAGAACACCAGUGGCGAAAGGCGGCCUCCAGCUGGCCCGGUAC